rnacentral:tRNA from 1 species
GGAGAUUUAGCUUAGCGGCAUAAGCGCCUGCCUUGCAAGCAGGCAGUUGUGAGUUCAAUCCCUG